rnacentral:tRNA from 1 species
GCCCCUGUAGUUCAAAGGAUAGAAUUUCUCCUUGCGGAGGAGAAGAUCGAGGUUCAAAUCCUCGCUGGGGCA